rnacentral:rRNA from 1 species
GACGAACGCUGGCGGCGUGCUUAACACAUGCAAGUCGAACGGUGAACGAGGGAGCUUGCUCCCUCCGGAUCAGUGGCGAACGGGUGAGUAACACGUGAGCAAUCUGCCCCGAACUCUGGGAUAAGCGUUGGAAACGACGUCUAAUACCGGAUACGACGCGGGAGGGCAUCCUCUCCGCGUGGAAAGAACUUCGGUUCGGGAUGAGCUCGCGGCCUAUCAGCUUGUUGGUGAGGUAACGGCUCACCAAGGCGACGACGGGUAGCCGGCCUGAGAGGGUGACCGGCCACACUGGGACUGAGACACGGCCCAGACUCCUACGGGAGGCAGCAGUGGGGAAUAUUGCACAAUGGGCUGAAGCCUGAUGCAGAAACGCCGCGUGAGGGACGACGGCCUUCGGGUUGUAAACCUCUUUUAGCAGGGAAGAAGCGAAAGUGACGGUACCUGCAGAAAAAGCACCGGCUAACUACGUG